CCUACGGGUGGCAGCAGUCGGGAAUAUUGCGCAAUGGAGGAAACUCUGACGCAGUGACGCCGCGUGCAGGAAGAAGGUUUUCGGAUUGUAAACCCCUGUCAUGUGGGAGCAAAAUAAAAAGAUAGUACCACAAGAGGAAGAGACGGCUAACUCUGUGCCAGCAGCCGCGGUAAUACAGAGGUCUCAAGCGUUGUUCGGAAUCACUGUGCGUAAAGCGUGAGUAGGCUGUUUCGUAAGUCGUGUGUGAAAGGCGCGGGCUCAACACGCGGACGGCACAGGAUACUGCGAGACUAGAGUAAUGGAGGGGGAACCGGAAUUCUCGGUGUAGCAGUGAAAUGCGUAGAUAUCGAGAGGAACACUCGUGGCGAAGGCGGGUUCCUGGACAUUAACUGACGCUGAGGCACGAAGGCCAGGGGAGCGAAAGGGAUUAGAUACCCGGGUAGUC
rnacentral:rRNA from 1 species